GAAGUGCUGAAAGAAAAGGGAAGCUCAGUGUAGCCCUUUCUGCUUUCGGGGAUCUCAGCCCCUCUCAGGCUAGUGGGCUUCUUCUUCGCCCAGGCGGGAGGUCUGGCGGCACCCUGUGUGCGCCAUCCUCACCUGCAGGCAGCCUUGUGCUUUGCAGUGGGCUGCUGCAAAGGAAAGCUCUGCCUCAGAACACCCCCACCCCCACCCUGCUUAGUUAACCACGCCUUUAGCAGCGCAGAGAACAUGUGAUCGCAAGCCAGUUACGGCCAGAAUUCUCAACACUUUAUUGUAUGCAGAUAUUUCCAUGGAAAACCUGAAAAAGAAAUUACAAACACAUUUUUCUUCUUUAAAUUUUUAAUUGACACAUGAUACCUGCCCAUACUUUAGGGGUACAGUGAUAAUUCCGUGCAUACAUAGUACCAUGCAUCAGGCCAGGACAGUUAUUGUUUCUGGCUCUGGGAACUCGCGUCAUUUCUGAGCCCCUUCUGGAUGGUGAGCUCUUAGGACCAGGGGCUGCUGCCUCCACCUGCAUGCAGUGCUCCCGAUGGCUGGCUGCUUCCCAGGCAGUGUUGAGUGUCGCCGUCACAGGGGAGAUGGACAUUUUCCUGGAGGGACCAGGGCAAGACUGGUGGUUAUGCACUCGUGAGGUCUUCAAUUAACAUUCAGUUUAAUGGAAACCAUGUGAAGCUUGGCAUGGAAGAGUUCAUGACUUGGAUGAAGAAUUCAUGAGAUGAUAUAACUGACAGCUGUGUUGCCAAUGCAUUAUAAGCAGGCUACAUGGACAAGAAGUGCUCAUUUAAGGAGAGCUCUAUUGCUGGACAUGAGAGAUUGGGAC
rnacentral:lncRNA from 1 species